AACAAAGGAUGAAUGGCUAAGUUCGCACCGUCCUGUGGCAACACCGUUUUGUCCCACUUCGUGUGGG
rfam:Virgibacillus soli strain PL205 scaffold000014, whole genome shotgun sequence.